ACCUUCAGAAGGAACAUGGCUGGCCUUGUGGACGCUAUGGGUUUGGACUUCAGGCCUCCAGAACUGAGCGUACCUAGUAUAUGCUAAUAGUGACACAGCACUCAAUUAAAGAAUGUCUCUUCUCCCUACUUGUCUGGAACACUUCUCAUUAAGCAUAUUCUUGUGUAGUUGUUGACUAUAUUGGCUCUAUCCCUCCAGUCAUUCUAGCGUUUGUUGCUGUCAGACCCUUCACCUUUCCUACUCUUCUGAAGACCCACUUGCUCUCAUGAAAUUGGUUGACAGAGGCAACAGCCACGGGAAAGCAAAUGAUUAAAGCAAGUGAGAAAUUCUUUACUGAAUAGACUAGAAGGAAAUUAGAAUAUGAACUGACUACACUGAGGAUCUCGCCUGGUCAUUCAGAGGCUUGGUUAUUCUUUUCCAGUAACCAGAGAUGUCUAAUAUAUGAAUGCCUUAUUCUAUUCAUGCUGCUAUAAUGUUACAAACUAGGUAAUUUAUAGAUAAUAGAAAUUCUUUUCUCAUAUUUUAGGA